rnacentral:ncRNA from 1 species
CCGGGGAUAACAGGCUGAUCUCCCCCAAGAGUCCACAUCGACGGGGAGGUUUGGCACCUCGAUGUCGGCUCAUCACAUCCUGGGGCUGGAGCAGGUCCCAAGGGUAUGGCUGUUCGCCAUUUAAAGUGGUACGUGAGCUGGGUUUAGAACGUCGUGAGACAGUUCGGUCCCUAUCUGCCGUGGGUGUACGAAGCUUGCGAGGCGCUGUCCCUAGUACGAGAGGACCGGGAUGGACGCACCUCUGGUGGACCUGUUGUCGCGCCAGCGGCACAGCAGGGUAGCUAAGUGCGGACGGGAUAACCGCUGAAGGCAUCUAAGCGGGAACCCCCCCUCAAAACCAGGCUUCGCUUGAGAGCCGUGGAAGACCACCACGUCGAUAGGCGGCAUGUGGAAGCGCAGCAAUGCGUGAAGCUGAGCCGUACUAAUCGCUCAAGAGAGCUUGAUCGC